CCUACGGGUGGCAGCAGUGAGGAAUAUUGGUCAAUGGCCGUAAGGCUGAACCAGCCAAGCCGCGUGAAGGAAGAAGGAUCUAUGGUUUGUAAACUUCUUUUAUAGGGGAAUAAAGGCAUCCACGUGUGGCUAUUUGCAUGUACCCUAUGAAUAAGCAUCGGCUAACUCCGUGCCAGCAGCCGCGGUAAUACGGAGGAUGCGAGCGUUAUCCGGAUUUAUUGGGUUUAAAGGGUGCGUAGGUUGUUGUUUAAGUCAGCGGUGAAAGUUCGUGGCUCAACCAUAAAAUUGCCGUUGAAACUGGAAGACUUGAGUGUGUGUGCGGUAGGCGGAAUGCGUGGUGUAGCGGUGAAAUGCAUAGAUAUCACGCAGAACUCCGAUUGCGAAGGCAGCUUACUAAGCCAUAACUGACACUGAGGCACGAAAGCGUGGGGAUCAAACAGGAUUAGAUACCCGGGUAGUC
rnacentral:rRNA from 1 species